rnacentral:misc_RNA from 1 species
UCACUACUUGCGUAGGCAGUCGAUCCAGAGUUCCCGACAUUACUCGAUGGUAACUGAAUCCAGGGGUUGCGCUCGUUGCUGGACUUAACCAAACACCUCACGGCACGAGCUGACGACAGCCAUGCAGCACCUGUAAUCCCCCCCUUGCGGGUACCAGGCUUUCGCCAGUUUAGAGAUCCUUUCAAGCCUAGGUAAGGUUCUUCGCGUUGCAUCGAAUUAAACCACAUGCUCCACUGCUUGUGCGGGCCCCCGUCAAUUCUUUUGAGUUUUAGCCUUGCGGCCGUACUCCCCAGGCGGAACACUUAUCGCGUUGGCUUCGGCACGGACAGAUUCGACUCCGCCCACACCUAGUGUUCAUCGUUUACGGCGUGGACUAC